GGUAGUCCACGCCGUAAACGUUGGGCGCUAGAUGUGGGGGCCAUUCCACGGUCUCCGUGUCGCAGCUAACGCAUUAAGCGCCCCGCCUGGGGAGUACGGCCGCAAGGCUAAAACUCAAAGGAAUUGACGGGGGCCCGCACAAGCGGCGGAGCAUGUUGCUUAAUUCGAUGCAACGCGAAGAACCUUACCUAGGCUUGACAUGCACGGAAAUCUGUCAGAGAUGGCAGGUCCUUUAAAGGGUCGUGCACAGGUGGUGCAUGGUUGUCGUCAGCUCGUGUCGUGAGAUGUUGGGUUAAG
rnacentral:rRNA from 1 species